CUGAUAGCUCGUAUCCAUAUCUUUCUCUUUAUUGAGAAGAAAUGUUGAAUCGUUUUAAGCUGAAAAAAUGCAAUGUGGUUCAACCAUAUUCUGGAGCAUAUUCUGAUCAAACUUCAGAUUCUGUCAAAUCGCGUUUCUAUCGCUUGAACAUUCCGCGCGAGAUUAGAAACAAGGCAUAAGAAAUAAAAUAAUCUGAGAGGUGGCGCGAAGAUAAUAAAAAGAGAAAAGGAAAACGUUUUGUCUCAACGACGAAAAAUGCUCUCUUUAUUGAAUUGACGAUCUUAUAACCACAUAAAACAAAACAUAUUUGAUAAUUAAAUGGCUGUACAAACACAUUGAUUUGAAUCAUGCGUGGCUAUGUUCGUAACGUGUGCAACUUCAUGCGACACGAGGCCCGAAGAGUAAAGUUGCGUAAAGUUGAUUGAGUCUGUUUCCCUCUUGCCCUCUGGCGCCCUACGUAAACGCACAUCCCCGAAAUUUAAAUGUCUAGCGAAAUCCGAUUAGGAAUGAAAAAUUCAAGCGUGGGGAUUGAAUGGAAGAGCGGGAUAAAGAAAAUCUUUAGCAAUUGGUUUUUAAUGAUCGUUUGCUUCUCUCUUUUAUUGAGGAUAACUUCUUUGAACGUCGCCUUAAACUAGGCAAACUCGGCUCGGUUCAGCCGGGUCCCCGGUCGCGUCGCGAACUUCAACUCGCGUUCGAUUCGCGGCCAGCUUCGAGUCGCGUGGCACGAGGUCUAUACGUAAAAAUCGUGGAACGCUUUAUAUGUUAAAAGUCGUGGAACGCAAACUCGAAAAUAAAUUACAAAAAACGGAAGAUGAAGAAAUCGAAUCGGAACGGAGUCCCUCGGUUAUGGCAGGUCAGCCUCGGAGGUCUCCGUUUAAUUGCUACAAAAAUCGCCGGGAAUCCUUUUCUCGCAUCACGAGGCGCACGAUUCUUACUCGAGAAAGAAAAUCGCGCGUCUCGUGCCACUUCGCUCGAUGAGACACGAAUGAUCAAGGUACGCCGGAAAAUUCGCAUCUGAAUUCGAUUCUUAUAGGUAUACCGAGGGGAUACUCGCGCCGUCGUCCAACAAAUGGUGAAGCGACGUGAGCGAUAUACGUUCGCCUACAAUACGAAAAAAGGAUUCACAAGUUCUCGUUGCAGCAAGAAAAAGGACAACCUCGUAGAGAGAAGAUCUUCCAAGCACGAGAGAGCCUAUUCCGAACGCGACCGGGAGACGCGAGAGCGACAGACAGACGAGAGAGCGUUCGUCAACAAGAAUCAUCUCCGUUUCAAGAUCAUCACUCAAUUGCAUGUGCGCUCUGUGAAUGGAAGAGAGGCGGGCGAGUGAAAAGAAUCGCGAGCAAUCAGGAGUGCGUCACAUUUAAUUAAACUGAGUAAGAUCAUGUUUUCCUCUCUCUUAUUUACAUUUUUUAAUCUAAGGUAUGUCACUGUGACGAUUGUAGAAAACCAUUUUCUCGUCGCCAGAAUAAGAAGAAAGCGUGAGAGAACGAGAAAAGAGAAGAGGCGAGAUUGAGAAAGAAAUGAACGAGUAGAGAUGAUCCUUAUCGAGGCAAACGAUCAAUAUCAGAGACAAAUCAGGUAUGUUCUGGUAUAUACAUGUUGCAGAAAUUUCUCAAAAUAUAUCUCAGAACAUAUCCGAGUGUUAUAUAUCUCGUUAUCGUUUCAAAAGCUUAGGACAAUAAAACAAAGUAGUAAUAUCUCCCUCAUUAAUCAUCCUACCACCUGAGUGGAUUAGUUCGGACUAUGCGCUUUCCUCUUCAGCAUGGACCGAUCGUUUGGAGCAACUUCUGAUUACUUCAUCCAAAUUGUCACACUACGUCGCGUGGGACUGCUGAGACUGUGGCAGUUUGCUGGAGCUUUUGUGAUGACUGGACGUGUGUCUUUCCUGAAAACGACAAAUAGAAUUGUGACGUCUUGCUCCGUGAAGAAAUGCAAAGAUGAGCGAAAGUCUUCCGCUAGUAAAAAAGAAUAAGCUAAUGCGUCACACGAUUAAGUAUGCCGCGUACAUUUCUAGCGUGCUCUCGAUGUAAUUGAGUCUAUUAUUUUGAGGACGUUGCGCCGUAUUGCGAGUCCAGAUUUGAAAUAUGAAGACGUGGAUCUUCUAAGCUGGAUCUGACGUGGCGUGUAUCAGUCUUCAACAGGAUUGUCAAAAUAAACGACUCAAUUUUCACAUUUCCGUGAUUAAACGCAGCGCGAAUUCGCAUCUUCUUUCAUUUUUUUUUUUUUGCGAAUUCUCAUUUCUUUCUAUAAGGAUUCGAUUUCGGACGGAUCGAUAGGAAUGGAUGGAUUGAGAAAAUGCGAGUGACAAAAGAAUGCAGUGGGAGUGUUGGGUCAGGAUUUCUGUGGUGGAUCCGCUCUUUGCCUUGGACUUGUCCCCUCGUCUAUCUUAGGCCAACGUAGCAAAGCGGAGUGAAGCUAAGCGAAUCAGUAAAAGCAUGUUUGUUUGCGAAUUCUACACAUGCAAUGUUCAUUCGUAUUGUAAAAAAGUGUAAAGUGUGCGAGCGCAUGCUCAUACUCGCGCUCAUGCCAUCAUACACGCACGCUCACACACACAUACACACACAUGACGCAUGCACGCACGCACACACAUGUCGCAGAACAUUACAACGCUAUUAUAGCGAUAAUAUAAUCCAGCGAUAACAGCAAUAUUUUGCUCGUAAUAAUAGUAGUGGUCGUGAUGUACCCUUCACCAAGCGACAAGAACAAAUGACAUGGGUAACGCCAAUUAAUCUCAUUCCGUUGACUUUUGGUGAACUUGUUUCGCGUGUGAUUUGUGUUGGCAAUCUCAUUGCAAUAUGGUACUCGUACAAUAUACUCCUAAGCCGUGAUGUUAGUACAUAUAUACUUAAAAAAAGAAAAAAAAGAAAAAAAAGAAAAAGAGAUGCGGCGGUACGGUGUGCGAUAUUGCAUAUAUACAUAUAAUAUGUGUGGUAUUAAGAAAAAGACAAAAUAAUCACUAAGCUCAUACGAAGAAAGGAUUGAAGAAAGCGGACGGUGGUAACGAGCAAGUUUUGAACAGAGAAGAGGAGAUUUGGAAGCAGAACAGAAUAUAAACAAGAGAGAGAAAUAAGAAAAGAAGUGAAAAUGUAAGUGACCAAAUUUAUAAGUAUCAAGACGUAGGGAGAAAACGGUAAUUAUGUGUAUUUAAGUUGUGGACCAAUUAAAUUGAUAGGCAAAGAUAUUAAGUAUAAAACUGAUUUAAGUCACAGAUGGACAAGAUGUUUACACUUGUUCUUUAACAAUUUUCUACUAAGCUAAGCUUAUCAUUGGUCAUAAAUUUUUAACCCUUUCCCUCCCUAGCUAUAGAACUUCAUUUUUUUACUUUCCUUAUUUUAUUAUUUUUUAAAAAAUUCUUAUUAUUCAAAGUCCCAUCCCCCUAAAAUAAUUUAUAGAUGCUACGUAAAAGUUAGGAUAAGGAUUUAGAUUUAAUUAAAAUGUAGAUGUAUAUCCUCGUAAGCUCGCAGGGAUAAGUUUCUAUAUAUACAUAUAUAUGUAUAUAUCUUUAUACAUACAUAUAUACAUAUAUCUAUGAUAAAUUACAAAGAUAGCAGAUUUGAGUUCACACGGGAAGGAAAAACUAUACAAUUAUACACGCAAAGGAUCUCAUAUCGUGAGAUUGUCAGUGCUCUUAAUCCUCUGCAUUUUGCAAAUCAGUCGUUUGCAUACGUUAGAACAGCAAUGGUAAUCGUGACAAUAUAACAAUUAACAAUGACACAUUCACGAUUCCGAUAUAAUAUCGCUUUUGCACAUUAUAAACUAUACACAUUCUUGUGAACGAGCUCUGUACAUGUGAAUAUACGUAUACAUAAAAUAUACACACUCUUAAAAAAUAUGUUCCGAGCGUAAUAUAUCGGUCGCAUAUAUAAUUCAAUCCGAUACGACGUUUCCUGAGUUAAUAUUUGUUCCAUAAAAGUUUCACAUUUCUGUGGUAGAUUUAAACAAGAUCAUUGAUUUCGGGCUAACUAAUCAAAGUUCGUGCUCCUUGCAUUCGACGACGAUUCGUGAGCGUAAUCUCCCUGGCCGACAAAAGCGUUGCGCGUGUGCAUUUCUCGCUAUUUCACUAAAUCUAAAUCCUCACGAGCAAUAGUCUUCCGGAAGAAUGACUGACGCCGAUAGGAAAUCAUAUCGCUCUGUCUGCUAUGCUUUCUUCGUUUAAUAUAUUCCGUCUACACGUGGCAGUGUGUUCUCCUUCUCCAACUUUUACAACGCGGUUUUCCUCUUCGUCGCACCUACGGCUACGACCUUAUGAUGUUUUCUUUAAAGUCUUUAUACGCGAGCGGUUAAUCAGCAUACUUAAUUAUUAAACGAUGAAUUAUGUGCAAAAGAUGCCUGGAAAAAUAUCUCUAUAGAGAUUUCUAAGAAAAUUGCGAUUUUCAAAAAAUUUCCUAUUUCUUUACCAAUAUUUCUGUUUCCAUCGCAAAAAUAAAAAAAAAAAGAAAAAAAAGAAAGAAGAAUAAGUCCUGAAGAUCAUGAAGAAAUCGAAAAUUUCGAUUUAGACUCGUAUUAAAAGCAUAAUAUUAAAGCGGUCAUAAACAGCUACAUAGGAAAUUUUUUAAAAAUCUUGAAAAUUAUAUAUUAAUUUGAAAAACAGUUAAGAAUAAUCCUAACAUUUCCAAUACGUAUUUGAGUUGGGAGGAAAAUGCUAAUUUAUUAUAAAGGAUGCAAUAAAGAAAAUUAUUUCAUUGCUAUUAAGAUCCUUUAAAUCUCGAUAAUUAUCCAUUAUAAUUUUCUAUUAUUUUUAUUUAAUUUAUAUUAUUUUUUUAUCAUUUCUUUAGGCACUAUGUAUAAAAAUGAAAAUAAUAACAAGCAAGAGCACAUUCGUGCAUUUCUAUGCACCUUCAUUGCAAAUUCUUGGAAUAUGUAGAUCAUGCUGGCUACGAGUGGGAGACUUUAACCUGAUGUUGAAAAGAGAAAUUAAGAGAAAAUAAAUAACGAUGCUGUCCAAAACGAUACCGUAGACACAUUGAAUUAUUGCAGCACUAAUAACUUCUAUCAAUAUGCAUGGAUCGACCACAAGCUAAAUUGAAUUUCAAUUAAGGCUCAUGAGAUCGACUAUAUGAAACUCAUCAAAGAUUAAAUUAUUCCCAUAAUAUCGAUAUUAUAUAUUACAGAUUUUCAUGCUUUUUAGGCACUCAAAUUACACUAUCGAAUUGACGAUAAAUAAUGAAUUGAUACUUCACUACAAAAUUAAGAUGCUGGAAUAAGAUGUCAUAUAUAAUCAAGAUUUUCUGUUAGGGAAUAAAUAUCUACGAAAAGAAGAAACAAUCGAAGCAAUCAAGUGGCAAAAGAAUAAACGGCAUGCUACUAUUUCUAUUAAAUUAUUUGGUCAAAUCGAAGGGAAAAAGGAUAAAUUUAGCGUUUUCGCGAUUCCAACAAUGAUCGGGGAGAUCUUGCAUAGAAUCCAACUCCCAAUCCAAGUA